rnacentral:rRNA from 1 species
GACGAACGCUGGCGGCGUGCUUAACACAUGCAAGUCGAACGAAGUGGCGAACGGGUGAGUAACGCGUAAUCAACCUGCCCUUCAGAGGGGGACAACAGUUGGAAACGACUGCUCAUACGGCAUAUUGAAGGAGGGGCCUGCGUCUGAUAGGCUAGUUGGAGGGGUAACGGUCCACCAAGGCGAUGAUCAGUAGCCGGUCUGAGGGGAUGAACGGCCACAUUGGGACUGAGACACGGCCCAGACUCCUACGGGAGGCAGCAGUGGGGAAUCUUCCGCAAUGGACGAAAGUCUGACGGAGCAACGCCGCGUGAGUGAUGACGGCCUUCGGGUUGUAAAGCUCUGUUAAUCGGGACGCGGUACCGGAAUAGAAAGCCACGGCUAACUACGUGCCAGCAGCCGCGGUAAUUC